UUGAUUAUUUUCUUCAAGAUAUGUAUAUUUCAGCUCCACAGGUAAAGGCUUCAGAUUGAAUUUUGGAAUUUCUUCUUCAACAGCUGCCUCCUCUUUUUCACUGAACAAAGGUAAAAUUCCUUCUAUCUUUCUCCACCUUUGUAGAGUAGCAAGCCCAAUAGGAGAUUCAGAAAAACCUUCCUCAAUAUCCUCAAGACUUUCACUCAACUUGUCUUGCAUAUGUUGAUUGCAGUGCUCCUCCACCAAAGUAUCAAUUAUACAUAGCUCUUCUGGUCCUUCUUCUUCUUCUGGAGUGAUUUGCUUUUUAGACAUAUAGAAAAUAUU
rnacentral:lncRNA from 1 species